rnacentral:lncRNA from 1 species
GGAGAACAUGAGAAAAGAGAGUAAGUCAUGGUCAGUGCGCAGUGAACGGCUCCAUAUGCUGUGUGAUUUCCUCCUUGAGCAUGAGAUGUAUCGGGAACUUGAGUUAAAGAUGAGGACACCCAGAUCGCUUCGAAGGCAGAUUCUCCCAAAUCCAACUGAUCAUCUCAGUGUCACCACAUUGGAUCAUCUGCAUCGCAGGCCUNNNNNNNNNNNNNNNUAUUCAUCUUUCCGCUGCGACCAAGGCGUUGAUGGAAUAAACGUGCAAGGCUACAGUCUAGUGUUUGCAGUAAUAUUGACUAGCAAAGUCUGGUUAGUGUGUAAUCUUAACUAGCAAAGGCUUGCCAUGCCGGUGUACGUGCUAGCACACAUAGUAUGACUUGGUGUGUACAUUCCGAAACGAUCCAAGACAGCUUGUGACCCUUCCGUCAACGUUGUUAUAAAAUCAUACAGCAAAAUNN